rnacentral:rRNA from 1 species
CACCAAUGCGGGUGCUUACCAUGACAGUCGAGCGGUAAGGCCCCUUCGGGGGUACACGAGCGGCGAACGGGUGAGUAACACGUGAGUAACCUGCCCCUGACUCUGGGAUAAGCCCGGGAAACCGGGUCUAAUACCGGAUACGACGCCUCAUCGCAUGGUGGGGUGUGGAAAGGGUUUGACUGGUUGGGGAUGGGCUCGCGGCCUAUCAGCUUGUUGGUGGGGUGAUGGCCUACCAAGGCGGUGACGGGUAGCCGGCCUGAGAGGGCGACCGGCCACACUGGGACUGAGACACGGCCCAGACUCCUGCGGGAGGCAGCAGUGGGGAAUAUUGCGCAAUGGGCGGAAGCCUGACGCAGCGACGCCGCGUGGGGGAUGACGGCCUUCGGGUUGUAAACCUCUUUUACCACCGACGUAGGCCCUGGGUGUUCUUGGGGUUGACGGUAGGUGGGGAAUAAGGACCGGCUAACUACGUGCCAGCAGCCGCGGUAAUACGUAGGGUCCGAGCGUUGUCCGGAAUUAUUGGGCGUAAAGAGCUCGUAGGCGGCGUGUCGCGUCUGCUGUGAAAGCCCGGGGCUUAACUCCGGGUGGGCAGUGGAUACGGGCAUGCUUGAGGUAGGUAGGGGAGACUGGAAUUCCUGGUGUAGCGGUGAAAUGCGCAGAUAUCAGGAGGAACACCGGUGGCGAAGGCGGGUCUCUGGGCCUUACCUGACGCUGAGGAGCGAAAGCGUGGGGAGCGAACAGGAUUAGAUACCCUGGUAGUCCACGCUGUAAACGUUGGGCGCUAGGUGUGGGGACUUUCCACGGUUUCCGUGCCGUAGCUAACGCAUUAAGCGCCCCGCCUGGGGAGUACGGCCGCAAGGCUAAAACUCAAAGGAAUUGACGGGGGCCCGCACAAGCGGCGGAGCAUGUUGCUUAAUUCGACGCAACGCGAAGAACCUUACCAAGGUUUGACAUCACCGGUAAUCCCGCAGAGAUGUGGGGUCCUUCGGGGAUCGGUGAC